GAGGGUAUAGCUCAGUGGUAGAGUGUGUGCCUAGCAUGCACAAGUUCCCAGGUUCAACCCCCAGGACCUCCA
rnacentral:tRNA from 1 species